rnacentral:rRNA from 1 species
UACGGAGGGUGCAAGCGUUAUCCGGAUUCACUGGGUUUAAAGGGUGCGUAGGUGGGUUGGUAAGUCAGUGGUGAAAUCUCCGAGCUUAACUUGGAAACUGCCAUUGAUACUAUCAGUCUUGAAUACCGUGGAGAUGAGCGGAAUAUGUCAUGUAGCGGUGAAAUGCUUAGAUAUGACAUAGAACACCAAUUGCGAAGGCAGCUCGUUACACGAAUAUUGACACUCAGGCACGAAAGCGUGGGGAGCGAACAGG